GGAAAGGGGGGUGCCGGCUGGGAGGUGUGGGGGAUGAGAGAGAAAGGGAGGGAAAGAAGGAGAAGGAAUUGCUUGUAAAGUAGGACUGCCUGCCAAGUUCUCAGGCACUCGGUACUUCUGCCUAUCACUCCUUAACUUCCAAGUUAGUGUCUGCCCUAUUUUGGAAAUAGACCACAAAGCUCUGAAGUUUAGGGGGACGUCUCUGGUGCUUGAAGUUGCUCUAAACUUGUUCAGUUAACUGGGCAGGACUGGACACGUGGGCCAGAAGAUUGUCUUUGGACUUCUUUUUUAAUUGUGGUAAAAUUCACUAAUAUGAAACAUUCCUGUUUCCUCUAGUCCUUCUUCAUUCCCUCCCAACUCUGAGGGGUGCUGGACCUAGUUCCUAGGGACUUUUGCAAAAGUAGAAAAUGAGUCUCUCUCUCUCUCUCUCUUUCUCUCUCUCCUGGGUUUUCCUACGUAGGACAGCCUGGCUUCAAACCUCACAGAGAUCUGCUUGUUUCUGCCUCCUGGGGGCUAGGAUUUAAGGCUUGUGUGCCACCACUCCCGGCUGAGCCACCACUUUCUUGGCAAAAGUAGAGGAAGGGCUACUUUGUGCAGAGGGGGACAAAGACUCAUUCCUGGUCCUCCUGCCUCAGCCAACUAAGUGCUAGUGCAACAAGAACACACUACCACAUCUGGCUGGAAGAUUACAACUUAAUGAUCAAGAUUGGAAGGGGUCCCCAGGAAAAGACAUAUUACCUGCAUGCCUCAUUACAGUAGGUGUUACGAAGCUUAUCAAUUGUUUUGCCAUGGGAUAAAAGUUUCUCUGGUUAAUUCUGUUGUGGGUUUGGCGGAUAGAAGAAUCCAGACAGUGCUGGUUCAUCUGAAGCUCACAGUAGCUGCUAUUAAAUACUGACAUUAUCAUCAUCCCCAGGUCAGUGUGCACACAUUUAAGGCUAUUCAAUAGAAACUGAAAUAGGGCUUGGGGGCAAAAGAGUAUUUUGCAAAGGUCUUCCCAUCUGUUAGAGACUGAACUAUGGCUGAAAUCGUGUGCUUAGAAAGUCCUAUUCAACAGACCCCAUUCCCACUUGCACCCUUCUUCACCUGCCCUAGCUCUUGUUUUGUAGCUGCCUGGGCAUUGCUGGCUAGAUCUUUAGAUGGAUGCUCAACUUAAACAGGUUGGUGGCUUGCCAUUUAAGUCUCCUUUUUCCUUUGGCCUUUCGCCCGUCCAGUCCUGCCCACAGGAGACAGGAUUGUCUGCAUUUCACAGGGCGGCCCUAAACCGUGUGAGUUGGUGGCGUGAGCACCUCCUCCUGGAGGCAGUUCUGUCUUGCUCGGAGCUGGGGCGGCGGCAAAGGCGAGGCCUUUCAGCUGGGACAGCUGGGCACCUGGCGGUCCCACCACCGGUUGCUUUGAAUCAGAUCUGCCCAGCGAGGGGGAACAGAGUGGAGGAGGGCGAAGGCUGGCCGGGGCGACGAGGGCAGGCAGGUGUCUGCUCCCUGCCUCCAGGCUAUGUAACUAGGGUGGAGCCCUGGGCCACCCACCCUCGUCCUUCAGCCCCCACAGUAGCAUCUGGCUAGGAUUUAAACCACCGAACGAGCUUUGCAAAGCAGCUUUGCUUGCUCGGCAACAACAGUGGGGAUACAGCCUUCGCCGGGUCGGAGGGAAGCUCCGCCUUGGUAACAAGCUUCUGACUGGCUGGCCUAGGGAAGGAGCGGGCCAAUCAAAGCUUGAGGGGGAGUUGGGUGGGGACACUAGGUUUGAGAGCUGGGUUCCUUGCUCACCGCGGAGCACGCACAGCAGGACCUUUCAGGAAGGGCGGGUGGCUGUGGUGCUUUCGGUGCCUCCCCACUUCACCACCUGCUGCUCGAGUGGCUAAGUCUCUGAAGCUUCGGAUUUUUCCACAGUUUCUGGCUUUCCUUGAAGGACCUACCAACACCUGCUACCUUUGCUCCGAAACCAGGAGGAAGGUGGUCCAGGUCAUCUCUGAUGCACCGGACACUGGGACAUCAGAUCAGCCUCACUCCCAGCACUGCAUCGGACCUUUGAGUGGCAUCUGAUGAAGCCUGCUCAGAGACGCCUAUGAGCCAUAGUUCAUCAGACAGCGGGGUGGGAUGAGGGCUGGAGAGGAAGGAGAGGUAGUGCUGUUUCUGAGAUCCGAGUCUCGAGUCAGGCCACCACUGAGGUAGAUCCUGUCACCAUAAGGACACACAAAAGCUUUGGAUUUGAGCAGAUAGUUCUGCCUGCUGGUCUCUCAGCUGGGAUGAAGGUCAAAACACUAGAUGGAAUCUUCAGUUGUGCUGUAAUAUUUUCAGUAAACUUGGAAUACGACAACGAAAAUAUCGUGUGUGUUCCCUAACCCCACCACACAUAAGCGCACAUGCUCCUAUAGACUCAGCAGUCAGCACCAUAGCAUCCAGUUCAAGAUUUGAGAAAGAGGUGGGCAGGGCUGCCACUGUUCUCUGCCACCUACUGGCUGAUUAGCACCUUGAGCAACGGUUACCCAUUCUGAACCUUGGUUUCCCUCUGUGUAAAAUACUAGUAAUGUCACCUACCUUCUAGAAUUGUGACCAAAGGCUGCAUGCAUAAAGAUCUCACCUUAGCCAAUAAAAACAAAGGAACCACUUUCCUUUCUCAUACGUAGCCAGCCUUCUGUUGCGGUUUAGAUGCUAGGGAUGAGACUAAAUUCUAGGAAUAUUAAAAAUUCAUCAUAAUAAAGCAAUAUAAGAUCCAGGACAAAGUCUAGUAAAAU
rnacentral:lncRNA from 1 species